rnacentral:tRNA from 1 species
GGCCCAUAGUUCAGUGGUAGAGCAUCUGCUUUGCUUUCAGAAGGUCCCAGAUUCAAUUUCCAGCAUCUCCA